rnacentral:rRNA from 1 species
CAGUAGCCGCGGUAAUACGUAGGUGGCAAGCGUUGUCCGGAAUUACUGGGCGUAAAGCGUGCGCAGGCGGCUAUAUAAGCCAGGUGUGAAAUCCCCGGGCUCAACCUGGGAACUGCAUUUGAGACUGUAUGGCUAGAGUGUGUCAGAGGGGGGUAGAAUUCCACGUGUAGCAGUGAAAUGCGUAGAUAUGUGGAGGAAUACCGAUGGCGAAGGCAGCCCCCUGGGAUAACACUGACGCUCAUGCACGAAAGCGUGGGGAGCAAACAGGAUUAGAUACCCCAGUAGUCCCUGUCUCUUAUAC